UGGGGAAUAUUGCACAAUGGAGGAAACUCUGAUGCAGCGACGCCGCGUGAGCGAUGAAGUAUUUCGGUAUGUAAAGCUCUAUCAGCAGGGAAGAUAAUGACGGUACCUGAGUAAGAAGCUCCGGCUAACUCCGUGCCAGCAGCCGCGGUAAUACGGAGGGUGCAAGCGUUAAUCGGAAUAACUGGGCGUAAAGGGCAUGCAGGCGGUUCAUCAAGUAGGAUGUGAAAUCCCCGGGCUCAACCUGGGAACAGCAUACUAAACUGGUGGACUAGAGUAUUGCAGGGGGAGACGGAAUUCCAGGUGUAGCGGUGGAAUGCGUAGAUAUCUGGAAGAACACCAAAGGCGAAGGCAGUCUCCUGGGCAAA
rnacentral:rRNA from 1 species